rnacentral:lncRNA from 1 species
CCUGGUUGCAGUAGCCAAAUUCACUGUCUUACCCUGAAAUGAACUUGAUAGCAUGGCCAUUGAAAGCAAUACCAGCCCCAGCAUGGAAGGUGGAAGAAUGGGUGUCACUGUUAAAGUUGCAGGAGACAAACUGGUCCUCAGCAUAGCCCAGGAUGUCCUUGAGGGGAUCCUCUGAUGCCUACUUCCCCACCUUCUUGAUGUCAUAGUAUUUG